AAAAAAAAAAAAAAUCCUCACACACGAAAAAAGCAAGCGGAAUCUCAAUGGAUUCUUCGUUUUUAACGAUCUUACUGAUUGCUAUCUGAAAAAGUUACUCUCUUCCUUAAUGUUUAUGUCAAAUCUCAAUGAACAAAUAUGCAAAAAUAUUGGUGGGGAUAGAUCCCGGAGAUCUCCCCACCAAUCUCUUCACCUCAGAGAACCAAGAAAAUGGAAAAACAUUAGAAACUUCUGAUCAGUCUGAUUUCUCUAACUGCUUAAAUAGUUCUGUAAUCGAAUAAUCAGACGUGAAAGUAAUUUACCAUUUAGAGAAGGAUAACUACUGGAGGUACGUGUGGAUAUAAAGGGAGUUUGCCAAAAAAUGAGAACGUGUAAAAUUGGUGGAUAAAAUCUAUGGAAAAGAAAAGUGAAGGGAUUGAUUGGUGUUUUCCCUGUUAGAGACGAUGUUGAGGGCGCAUUUAUUAGUUCAGUAUUAUCUGAAGGUAUUAUUUUGUUUUCAUUUGAUGUUCACCAUCCUAAUAACUUUACUGCUAAAUUUUCCAAUGUGUGACUCAAUGAAAACAAAUAUCAUUGAAUGUGUGGCAACUGUUUCUGGGAAAAAAUGCACAAUCUCUUUUAGACUAGGGCCGUAUGUGGUUUGUAGCUCUUAUGGUAUUUGUCUUUGUUUGAGAUGUGAAUAUAAUUGAGAUGAUCUAUCACUGGAUGUUAAGUCAAUCAACAAGUAUGUUAUGAUUGGAUUUUUUUAAGGUUAUGACAUGAGGAGAUCUUAGUUUCUUAGUGUUGGUCUUGAAUUUUUGUGUUUGAGACGCAUCAUACCAUUUUCCUAAUUCUAUCAACAGAAAUUAUCAUGAUCAAAGGAAAAGAAUCUCAAGUAUCCUUGAAUAAAAUUGAAUAUUUUCUUUAAGGAUGUCACGGUAUCCCAACAAAUACAAUAUAAUCUACCUGCUUGCUUAAAAAAACAGUUCGAAGUGGAUCUGCAAUACAUUCUCAAUAGGAUCAAUAAAGAGUUGGUUAUGCUCUCGAGUGAGGUAAUAUUUGUUUCUUUCUAUCUGAACUUGAAAUUUUAAAGAUAUAUAGGAUUAAACAAAAUAUUGCUUUCAAUGCCGUAUAUUUGUACCGGAUGCUCUAGCAUGAAAAGAUGACCAAGUUUUGUAUACAAAUAUGUUUGUAGUUAUAGCUAGAAUUCUUUAAUGAUAUGAAAAUAUUUAGUCCUAACAUGUUGUGUGAUUCUGUAUUCGAACCAACUAUACUAAAUGGAACUUUGAGUGCUAAAUAUAGUACAGUUGUGUAGUUCUACGAUCGAUUUUAUUAAAAAAAACUCUAUGGUAGAUGUAGUUAAGUUUACUACUAUCCAUUACAUGCUUUCAAUGUGUUACAGAUCAGAAGAAUUCUUUUGGCGGACUAAAUUCAUGCGAACAAAGCAGUUGAGUAAGUAGGAAGUGGAAAGGAGUAUGAAGAGACGUAAAAAAACUCAAACAUGUAAUUUUUCAUGUUGUUUGGACUCUAGCAUGGCAGUCCUACAUUUUAGCUAUCCAGUGCUAAGCCUGUCAUGCAUUUAAGAUCCAUUUCUUUGAUGUGGUAAUUGAUACUUAACUAGACAAAGGAAUUAGAUCAGUUGGUAAAGUAGAACCAGGGUCCUUGCUGAUAGACUAAUUACAUAUGACGUGUUUUUAGAUUUUUUUUUUUGAACUACUUGCUGAUUAAAAUGUAUUCAACUAGUAAAUGGCGAUCCAAAACGAUUGUUUCGAUGAUUAGGGGUACAUGGUCCCCUUUUAAAAUAUCAACAGGGUGAUGACUGUGUUCUUGCCGUGAAGUAAUAACAUCAAUUAAGGGACCUCUUAAUUCUUAUUACCUUCUUAAGUGUAUGCAAAUUUAGUUUUGGUGAGGAAAUCUUCCAUUAUGGUUCAUAAAAAACUACUCUAAGUUUACAUAUUCCUACGCAGAAAAGAAGCUUGGACGAUGAGCAAAGAUACUGAAGGAACACAACGACGAAAUAAUUUAAGAAGCGUUGGAGGACGUUUUGGGAAGUCAAUUAUAGGCUUAACAAUGGCGUUGAUCCAUUUCUGGAUGUCUAUUGAGUUUUACUAAUUUUGAAAUCAAGCAUUCAGUGUUUGUUAUCCGUUUCUCAUAAUUUUUGAAGUAUCAUUUAAAAACUAUCGUCUUUUUCUAGAUUUUAUUUUAUGUUAAUUUGAUUGAUUUUAUAGAUAUGGUCAACUAUUUUUAGUGUUUCA